UGGAGGGCAAGUCUGGUGCCAGCAGCCGCGGUAAUUCCAGCUCCAAUAGCGUAUAUUAAAGUUGUUGCAGUUAAAAAGCUCGUAGUUGAACCUUGGGCCUGGCUGGCCGGUCCGCCUCACCGCGUGCACUGGUUCGGCCGGGCCUUUCCCUCUGGGGAACCCUAUGGUCUUCACUGAUCGUAGCGGGGAACCAGGACUUUUACUGUGAAAAAAUUAGAGUGUUCAAAGCAGGCCUAUGCUCGAAUACAUUAGCAUGGAAUAAUAAAAUAGGACGUGUGGUUCUAUUUUGUUGGUUUCUAGGACCGCCGUAAUGAUUAAUAGGGACAGUCGGGGGCAUCAGUAUUCAAUUGUCAGAGGUGAAAUUCUUGGAUUUAUUGAAGACUAACUACUGCGAAAGCAUUUGCCAAGGAUGUUUUCAUUAAUCAGGAACGAAAGUUAGGGGAUCGAAGACGAUCAGAUACCGUCGUAGUCUUAACCAUAAACUAUGCCGACUAGGGAUCGGACGGUGUUAUUUUUGACCCGUUCGGCACCUUACGGGAAAC
rnacentral:rRNA from 1 species